AAUGAACGUUGGCGGCAUGGAUUAGGCAUGCAAGUCGAGCGAGAAGUGUAGCAAUACACGGAAAGCGGCGGAAGGGAGAGUAAUACGUGGGAAUCUGCCCUUAGACCUGGGAUAGCAGCGGGAAACUGCUGGUAAUACCAGAUAAUGUCUAUGGACCAAAGGUGUGAUUCCGUCUAGUGAUGAGCCCACGUCCUAUUAGCUAGUUGGUAGGGUAAUGGCCUACCAAGGCGAUGAUGGGUAGCGGGUGUGAGAGCAUGACCCGCCUCACUGGGACUGAGACACUGCCCAGACACCUACGGGUGGCUGCAGUCGAGAAUCUUCGGCAAUGGGCGCAAGCCUGACCGAGCGAUGCCGCGUGCGGGAUGAAGGCCUUCGGGUUGUAAACCGCUGUCGAGGGGGAGCAACUUCCAUAGAGGUACUCCCCUAUGGUCGAGUGCUCCGCAGAGGAAGCACGGGCUAAGUUCGUGCCAGCCGCCGCCGUAAAAC
rnacentral:rRNA from 1 species